UGUUUGAUUUGUUGUAAUUGACCAUUACGGGCUCAAUGGAAUCAAUCUCUAUUACAGUAGGAUCUGUAAUAACAAUUCAAGGGUUUGGGGUCUGAAUUGGCUAUUCAAUAAAACCCGUGUUCACAUUUCGUUUUCUUUUUGGACCAAAAUAUUCUGGCAAUGUCUUACCAGAACUUCAUUCAUUUUGCUCUUUGAAACUAAACGACAUACCCUUUUGCUUCCUUCUCCUCUACAGGUAUUCUUGUUGAUAUUUUUCUCAGAAUUGGGAGACAAAACUUUUUUCAUUGCGGUUAGGCUGAAUCCUUAGAGUAAUAUUUCAUUUGUGUCUAGAAAGAAUCUGUCAAUUGCCUUAUAUGCUAUUCUAUUUAUCACAAGUAUUAGUUUUGUAUCUUAUUUGUAUUCAGAUAACUUAAACCCUAUGUUGUUCACUAUUCUACUAUUCUUAUUUUUGGUUGGAUAGAUACCAUGGUUGUUAAUC